rnacentral:rRNA from 1 species
GGGUUGUGAGGUUAAGCGACUAAGCGUACACGGUGGAUGCCCUGGCAGUCAGAGGCGAUGAAGGACGUGCUAAUCUGCGAUAAGCGUCGGUAAGGUGAUAUGAACCGUUAUAACCGGCGAUUUCCGAAUGGGGAAACCCAGUGUGAUUCGUCACACUAUCAUUACGUGAAUACAUAGCGUAAUGAAGCGAACCGGGGGAACUGAAACAUCUAAGUACCCCGAGGAAAAGAAAUCAACCGAGAUUCCCCCAGUAGCGGCGAGCGAACGGGGAGCAGCCCAGAGUCUGAAUCAGCUUGUGUGUUAGUGGAACGGUCUGGAAAGUCCGACGGUACAGGGUGAUAGUCCCGUACACCAAAAUGCACAGGUUGUGAACUCGAAGAGUAGGGCGGGACACGUGGUAUCCUGUCUGAAUAUGGGGGGACCAUCCUCCAAGGCUAAAUACUCCUGACUGACCGAUAGUGAACCAGUACCGUGAGGGAAAGGCGAAAAGAACCCCGGCGAGGGGAGUGAAAAAGAACCUGAAACCGUGUACGUACAAGCAGUGGGAGCCUCUUUAUGGGGUGACUGCGUACCUUUUGUAUAAUGGGUCAGCGACUUAUAUUCUGUAGCAAGGUUAACCGUAUAGGGGAGCCGAAGGGAAACCGAGUCUUAACUGGGCGUUAAGUUGCAGGGUAUAGACCCGAAACCCGGUGAUCUAGCCAUGGGCAGGUUGAAGGUUGGGUAACACUAACUGGAGGACCGAACCGACUAAUGUUGAAAAAUUAGCGGAUGACUUGUGGCUGGGGGUGAAAGGCCAAUCAAACCGGGAGAUAGCUGGUUCUCCCCGAAAGCUAUUUAGGUAGCGCCUCGUGAAUUCAUCUUCGGGGGUAGAGCACUGUUUCGGCUAGGGGGUCAUCCCGACUUACCAACCCGAUGCAAACUGCGAAUACCGAAGAAUGUUAUCACGGGAGACACACGGCGGGUGCUAACGUCCGUCGUGAAGAGGGAAACAACCCAGACCGCCAGCUAAGGUCCCAAAGUCAUGGUUAAGUGGGAAACGAUGUGGGAAGGCACAGACAGCCAGGAUGUUGGCUUAGAAGCAGCCAUCAUUUAAAGAAAGCGUAAUAGCUCACUGGUCGAGUCGGCCUGCGCGGAAGAUGUAACGGGGCUAAACCAUGCACCGAAGCUGCGGCAGCGACACUAUGUGUUGUUGGGUAGGGGAGCGUUCUGUAAGCCGUUGAAGGUGUACUGUGAGGUAUGCUGGAGGUAUCAGAAGUGCGAAUGCUGACAUAAGUAACGAUAAUGCGGGUGAAAAACCCGCACGCCGGAAGACCAAGGGUUCCUGUCCAACGUUAAUCGGGGCAGGGUGAGUCGACCCCUAAGGCGAGGCCGAAAGGCGUAGUCGAUGGGAAACAGGUUAAUAUUCCUGUACUUGGUGUUACUGCGAAGGGGGGACGGAGAAGGCUAUGUUAGCCGGGCGACGGUUGUCCCGGUUUAAGCAUGUAGGCGGAGGUUCCAGGUAAAUCCGGUACCUUUUAACGCUGAGGUGUGAUGACGAGGCACUACGGUGCUGAAGUAACAAAUGCCCUGCUUCCAGGAAAAGCCUCUAAGCAUCAGGUAACACGAAAUCGUACCCCAAACCGACACAGGUGGUCAGGUAGAGAAUACCAAGGCGCUUGAGAGAACUCGGGUGAAGGAACUAGGCAAAAUGGUGCCGUAACUUCGGGAGAAGGCACGCUGAUAUGUAGGUGAAGUGAUUUACUCAUGGAGCUGAAAUCAGUCGAAGAUACCAGCUGGCUGCAACUGUUUAUUAAAAACACAGCACUGUGCAAACACGAAAGUGGACGUAUACGGUGUGACGCCUGCCCGGUGCCGGAAGGUUAAUUGAUGGGGUUAUCCGUAAGGAGAAGCUCUUGAUCGAAGCCCCGGUAAACGGCGGCCGUAACUAUAACGGUCCUAAGGUAGCGAAAUUCCUUGUCGGGUAAGUUCCGACCUGCACGAAUGGCGUAAUGAUGGCCAGGCUGUCUCCACCCGAGACUCAGUGAAAUUGAACUCGCUGUGAAGAUGCAGUGUACCCGCGGCAAGACGGAAAGACCCCGUGAACCUUUACUAUAGCUUGACACUGAACACUGGUCCUUGAUGUGUAGGAUAGGUGGGAGGCUUUGAAGUGUGGACGCCAGUCUGCAUGGAGCCAUCCUUGAAAUACCACCCUUUAAUGGCUGGUGUUCUAACGUGGACCCGUAAUCCGGGUUGCGGACAGUGUCUGGUGGGUAGUUUGACUGGGGCGGUCUCCUCCUAAAGAGUAACGGAGGAGCACGAAGGUUAGCUAAUCCUGGUCGGACAUCAGGAGGUUAGUGCAAAGGCAUAAGCUAGCUUGACUGCGAGAGUGACGGCUCGAGCAGGUGCGAAAGCAGGUCUUAGUGAUCCGGUGGUUCUGAAUGGAAGGGCCAUCGCUCAACGGAUAAAAGGUACUCCGGGGAUAACAGGCUGAUACCGCCCAAGAGUUCAUAUCGACGGCGGUGUUUGGCACCUCGAUGUCGGCUCAUCACAUCCUGGGGCUGAAGUAGGUCCCAAGGGUAUGGCUGUUCGCCAUUUAAAGUGGUACGCGAGCUGGGUUUAGAACGUCGUGAGACAGUUCGGUCCCUAUCUGCCGUGGGCGCUGGAGAAUUGAGGGGGGCUGCUCCUAGUACGAGAGGACCGGAGUGGACGCAUCACUGGUGUUCGGGUUGUCAUGCCAAUGGCAUUGCCCGGUAGCUAAAUGCGGAAGAGAUAAGUGCUGAAAGCAUCUAAGCACGAAACUUGCCCCGAGAUGAGUUCUCCCUGAGACUAUAAGUCUCCUGAAGGAACGUUAAAGACGAUGACGUUGAUAGGUCGGGUGUGUAAGCGUAGCGAUACGUUGAGCUAACCGAUACUAAUGAACCGUGAGGCUUAACCUUACAACGCCGAAG